rnacentral:ncRNA from 1 species
UAUGAUAGAGGUGCAGAAGCUAAGAGUAGCUUGCUCCAUUCGGGAAACGGGAGCUUUGCAAAAGGGGCUUUUGCCGAAGUGAGCGCUUGCCUGCCCGAGGCGGCGUUUGCUGGGUCGAUGCAAAAUAUGUAUCGGACUGUCACGGUUGUGGAGCGCUAUCA